AGCUCAGCCCCACAGACACAUGGAGGAACAAGAGGUCGUCCAGUACGCUGCUGUCACAUUUAACAGAGCCGGUACUGCCCCGAGAACCAGAGGUCAGGAAACUGAAGAAGACCCAGCUGCACUGUACAGCACAGUCAACAAAACCUCAUGAACACAUCAGCAAUCUCAUGUUUUGUUAUUAAUCUUUGAAUUUUUAUUUUUGAAAACAAUGAGAAGAACUCCCCCACACUGUCACACAACGAUUCAUAAUUGUGUUUAGUAUAAUUUUGAAAUAUGCUAUUUGUUGUCUUAAAGGAGUCUAAUCUGUGUUACUUCUGUUUUUGUAUAAUUUCACCUAAAAAGGUAAAUAUUUGUACAUUCAAGAAGCAAUCAGUCCUUCUAAAGUCUUGUCUGUGGUCAGUUAUUUAAAAUACAGCAUGAUAAAAGUGAAUAGACCUAAUGCCAAGUUUGACAGUUUCUUUGUUUAUUAGUAGGCUAUUAUAAGUUUCACCCAAAACAAGUAAACCUCUGUGGUAGCUACCUUUUAAAUAGACUGAACCCAAACAACCAUCAUUCCAGUCUAAAGUCACUUACAGCAUCUUAGACAUAGUAUAGAGUGUUGGGGUGCUACACCUGCUGAAAGAAAAAUGUUAAAAAAUGAAAAAGAAAAUUGAAAAAAAUCUCUACACACCUGAAUAUGUGACAGGUGCAUUAAAGGAAGGUGCAGCUCAGACCUGUCUGAAACAUGAUUUAAUAAAUAUUCCAGCAAGAAGCGAGAGAGUGUGUCAGAGUUCUCCUCAUUGUUUUCAAGUUGCACCUUCCUCCAACACACCUGUCACAUAUUCAGGUGUCCAGACUUUUUUUUUUUUUUUUUUUUUUAAUUUUAAGCAGGUAACCAUUGGAUUUUAAAACUUCAUUUCUCAGAGUGGACCUCUCUAAGAAUGCAUCAUAGAGACAAAUAUAUAUUUUAGAGCGAUUUGAAUUGACAGUUUAUCUUGUUAUUUUACUGCUGAAGUAAAAUCCCAUUCAGACCUAGCUCCUGUACUUAUUAAUUUCAUUGUGGAUCCUUUGAAACAAUGGCAGAAAGCAGUAAGCAGCAUUUGGAUUGACAACAUAAUUGAUCUGCCAGUAGGAUUUAUCAUCAAUGCCAGACAGCCUCAACAUAUUUAUUGUUUCUUUACUCUCACAUGUAUACUAACCUUACACACUCUGGAAAGAUGUAAGUAGUGAAGCUGAUCCCAGUGACAAAACUUUCAUUGUAAAACCUGCUAAUUUAAACUUGUAGUAUUUGUGCGACUGGAGUCACUGGAGUCAUUUAGUGGAGCUGUGGAUUCCUGCCAGUGUAAUAUUUAUUAACAUUGGGUUAGAGGAGAUAUACUAAAGAUUAUUAUAACUUGCAGCUUUGGACAUAUCUCAGGAGUAGUGUAUCAGUUAGUUAACAAGUGGUAAGACUGUAAUGUUUAAGAUAUUUAAAAAAACACACUGGAGUAUUAGAGAGAUUUUACUGAUCAACUUGUAGUUUCAUAUUGCUGCCACUAGAUGAUAGUAAAGAGUAAUAUUUCAUUGAUAACAGACCAUUUCCACUGUUCUUUCUGUAUUUACAAUAUGUCUUCCAUUUUCAUUAUUACAACCAGUUUUAUUGUCAGUCAAGUAUUUGUUGUCAAUAUUCUAACAUUCAUCUUGUUAAUAAUUUCUACUGCCUUACAGUAACAUUGCAAUUGUCUGUUUUUCUGCUUUCUUUAUACAUAUUAUUACAGCCUGUUUUUGUUCUAUAUCACAAUUUCUAAACCAUGUAAUCACAUUUCUCCUUGCUCUUUGUUGUUUUGUCUUAAAUAAAAUGUCCUCAGUUCUAA